rnacentral:lncRNA from 1 species
AUGAGGACAACCAACCCAUAUGGCAUACAACGACCUAUGCUCGAUAAACAUUGUCGUCCUUGGUAACAACGUAUCAUUUGGUCGUGAACAUGUUUAAGGACUAAGCGACAAAUCCUCCUUUGUCGAGUCUAAAUAGUCCUAAGGACUUCACCACAACACAGGAGUUCAUUAGAAGAUGAAAUAUUUAUGAUGAAAAAAUAUCAAAAUAAUUUUUAUUUAUUUAUAAUUCAUGUACUAAUACAAAAGGAGCACAACCGUCAACAGACUGACGAUUGGCUUUGGGACACUAUUCCCAACAAUAAUGACAUCUUAUUCACCUAACCAUCGGCUCCAGGGAUGAAAAGUUGAAACUGCUUGGGAUACAAAACUACUCCCAGAGCCGUUCGACAUUCGAUCCC